CGUGUGGAGGAGCGGCGGCCGCUCAUCGCUCACCGCUCAGCUCGGCUGUGCAGGACGCUGCCCAUCUCCGCCUGCAGAACCGGGCCUGCUCUGACGUUCUGCUGCAGAAAAGCCGUCCAAAAACAUCGCCGCUCCUGCCUUCUGCGUACCUUCCCUUUCCUGCCCGGGGUUCCAAAUAGGCCUUUCUUCCUGGACCUCUGAAAAGCAAAUCUACAAACAGAAAACCUGUUUUGCCUUUACUUUAACAGUCCCCGAGUCAUCAACCAUCACUGCCAGAAAGCAUAUCAAAGAAACUGAGUGAAUAAUCCAAGUUACAGACCACAGCAGUUGUGCCUGCUCACGUGAUGUUACGUUCUGCUGCAGUACGUGUACUUACAGCAAUAGAGAUACGGUCAGAUGUGAGCUCCUUUCUUCUGCCUUGCAGACUCCUGAACACAGACCGCAUUCAUUCUGUUCUCUCGGGGUAACUGAGUCCGUUCCCAUGGACUCUUUUCCUUUGUCCGAGAAAUACCCAUUCUUUCCAGCAAUGCCAACAGGAAAGGAUAAAAUACGAAUUCUAACAUCAGGUGACAGUAAGCCAUGAUAAAUAACAAUCCAACCCGUAUUCCAAUGGGGAAUUGGUGCUGCUGCUCUCAUCGUGUAAUUGGACUUAUUCCUCGGUGAAGGGCUUGGAACAAGCGGGGCAUUAUCUCAAGUAUGGCCAAAUUGCUUUUGCCUUCAUCAUCACACUGUGAUCUGCACAUAUAAUUCUCAGCUUUGGGUGACUGCUGUGAUUAAGAUGGGCAUCCCUGAGCGGUGCCGUCGCAGGUACUCACAUGGACACAAUGAACUGCAAAUCUGCAGCAAAAGAAACUCUGCUGGAAAGGCUGUCUGGUAGGCAGCAGCUGCAGCAGCUCUCUGGUAAACAUUGCACUCUGCAUGGAUAUGCACAUGCUUGAGCAUCUCAGAUAGCCCGCAGAUCUGACUUCAGAUUGUCUGGAUGUAAAGUCAACACGAUCUUUAUCUUCAGAGAGCUGUUCACAGCAAACAGAGGCAGUGAUGGAAAGGAACGCAUUCCUGCAAGGCUGUCUUCUAAGCAAAAAUCAGCCCAUUAUUCUAAAUCUGCCUCAAACCUUCUACUUCGACAUCUCCUAAAUCCUGUCCAUCAGAACUCUUAAAAACAUCCCUGGGGAAAAGCUCUGAGUGCUGCACCCCCUCAGUGCUGCUUUGGCCAAACCCGACACAGGUUUGGUUACAGUCCAGGGCCCUCCCACCUCUUCCUCUGAGUUUUAAACUGAAUGUAGCAGCAGUCAGAAACACAUCUGAGCAUCCUGCUUUCGCAGUAUGUUGUUGUCACAUUCUUCACCUUUAAAGAAUUCCGGCAUAUGUUUCUCUAAGUGUUUUCCCCUAUUUAUUCUACAGAGCUCCCAGAAUAAACCUGUAGUAUUGACUCUGACAGUUUGCAGUUGGUUUGGGCAUUUCACGUCGGUGAUUCCCCCCGCUUUGCGAGAGCGAUCUCAGCUCAGAGCAGCUGUCUUUUUAUUGCAGAAAGGAUUGGUUUCAGAUGUUGCAGAGCACCGAAAUCCUUUGGGUUCAUUUAACAACAGCAACAAAAUAAGACCUGACUUUAUAAACUGAAGAAAGAAACAACGAAAGCCCGCGGUGUGUCCCAUGGCCCUGCUGCACAGACAGCUGCGUCCCGCCACGUCUCGCCGCGCAUCCUCCCAUGGCUCAGAUGGCUCUUUGGCACACUGGGGCCACCGUCCAAGGCUGAACUCAGAGUAAGGAUUUCUAACACAGUAUAAUAAGAAAUACUUUAACGUAAUGGAGCCUCUCAUCGCUCAUUUGAGCAUCAGCCCUCAGCAGGACAGGCCGAUCCUCCCAGGCCAUUGGUUCUGUUUAACAAGUGAGACACGGGAGCCGCACUGCUGAGCUCUCUGCAGCUCACGCUCGUGUGUUCUUCUAAUUGCCACUGGGUUUGCUUACAUCUGCCUCUGUGCUUUUCCUUGUGAAUUGUAAUUUGCUUAAUUGUCUUCUUUCCUUUAUUGCAUCUAAACCAG
rnacentral:lncRNA from 1 species